AAUAUUGCACAAUGGAGGAAACUCUGAUUCAGCGACGCCGCGUGAACGAUGAAGGCUUUCGGGUCGUGAAGAUCUGUCUUAGGGGACGAGAAUGACGGUACCCUUGGAUGAAGCCCAGGCUAACUACGUGCCCGCAGCGGCGGUAAUACGUAGGGGGCAAGCGUUGUCCGGAUUUAUUGGGCGUAAAGGGUUGGCGGGCGGCCUUUUAAGUCAGAUGUGAAAGACUACAGCUCAACUGUGGUAAGCAUUUGAAAAUGAAAGGCUUGAGUUAAGGAGAGGAAAGUGGAAUUCCUAGUGUAGCGGUGAAAUGCGUAGAUAUUAGGAGGGAUACCAGUGGCGAAGGCGACUUUCUGGACUUAUACUGACGCUGAGGAACGAAAGCGUGGGGAGCAAACAGG
rnacentral:rRNA from 1 species